GAUGAAGAACGCAGUGAAAUGCGAUAAGUAAUGUGAAUUGCAGAAUCCAGUGAAUCAUCGAAUCUUUGAACGCACAUUGCGCCCGCCAGCAUUCUGGCGGGCAUGCCUGUUCGAGCGUCAUUUCAACCCUCGACCUCCCUUUGGGGAAGUCGGCGUUGGGGACCGGCAGCACACCGCCGGCCCUGAAAUGGAGUGGCGGCCCGUCCGCGGCGACCUCUGCGUAGUAAACCAACUCGCACCGGAACCCCGACGUGGCCACGCCGUAAAACACCCAACUUCUGAACGUUGACCUCGAAUCAGGUAGGACUCCCCGCUGAACUUAAGCAUAUCAAUAAGCGGAGGA
rnacentral:misc_RNA from 1 species